UUUUUUUUUUGAGGGGGCAAAAUCAUCCAAUGACUUCUCCCGCCUUGGGCGAGGCGAGAGGGAGUGUCAGACUCUUACUGACUAAAAACCACCCCGUUCCUUCUCCUGCUUUUCGAGCCGGAGCCCCGGUAAACCCGCUAGGUAGUCCGCAGCUCCGGAUCAGGCAUCAGCCCUACUUGGGGCCCACCCCCUUUGGGUUAGGCUUAUAAAAUAUGAAAGUAGUUUUUUUAUCAUUACAUGUGGUACAUUAAAACGUUCACAGGUAACGCAUAGGUUAGUUACUAGGCCUGUAACGCUAAACACGUAAACAUAGAUUAAUAUUUUUUCUACUACACUUAAUGUACUCAUAGAUUACACUUCCGGCCGAGAAUAAGUACUCAUUAUUUUUUAUUCAGCCGGUAUAUUUCGCGUGGUACGGCGCACCGAUAAUUUUGACUUACAAUGUAAUGGUGAAAAAUGUUAAUUUCGCAAAAAUAAAAAAAUAAUCCGAUGAUUUUUUUUCGGUAUUUUUGUAAUAACUAUCGUGAGACAUACUAAAUUAAUUAAAAAUCAUGGUGGUAAAUUAAUGGAGAAAAGUUCUGCUAGUUACUCAUAAUGAAGAGUCCACCUGUGACUCGAAACUAGUAGCUUUUCUGGUAAAUUUUUUCAGUGUUCAUGGAUAUUUUUUUUGCGAAAUUAACAUUUUUAACCGACUUGACAGUUAGGGGAUAUCACGUAGUUGUAAGGCGUUAUCAUUAUUGUAUAGAUUCUUGUAAUAUAUAACCGAUGAACUUUUUUCUAAAUUAGACCCCUUGUACGGACCAGCACAUCAAGCUACACCUUCAAUAGAUUCUCGAUCUUAUAACAAGGGUAUAAGGUCGAUAAUCUAUUUGGCAAGAUUGGUGUAUUUUGAUAUGCCUGUGUCUAUGUAGUUCUUGUAUAUAAGUAGCGUGACGUCACAUUUUCUCGAAUGCGAAUCUCACAGCCCAUAGAUAUUGCGAUUUGCGACUGAUUUUAGAUUUGUACUACGUUUUACUUUUAAUAAUGGUUCAUAUUUUUUUAAAUAUAAUAGUGAUUCAACUCUUUGAUAUGAAGUGUGUUAAUACAGUGCAUUAUAAUUUAGAUCAUAGCUGUGUUAUUCAUGAAAUAAUUAUAAACCUUUAUAGCAGUGUCUAGUCUUUUUGAUGAAGAUCUGAUUAUGAGUUCUUGAUUGGAACUUUGGAUCUAGACAAGUAAUGAAUUAGCAGUAAAUCACAGCGUGCCUCAUUUUUGGCGAUAAACCUUGGUAAUAACUAUAGUGAGAAAUAACUAAAAAUCACGGUACUCACGUAUAUUAAUGGACAAAGGCUCUACUAGUUUUGAGUCACUAUGACGUCAUGAUAAUUAAGAGUCCCUCUGUGACUCGAAACUAGUGGAGCUUCUCUCUAUUAAUUUACGUGAGUAAACCGUGAUUUUUAGUUAAUAAAUCUUGGUUCUUAAAGCUAAAGUGCUUCUAUACGGACAAUAUUUUUCUGCAAUAACAUUAAUAAGCAGAUCAAGGCACUUUUCAAAGGUCAACAUAGACACCCGAAACACGAGAGGCGUUACAAGAGCGUUGCCGACAUUUUGGGGGUUAAGAAUUUGAAAGGUUGUUGGGGAAUCGGGGAUUGGGAAGAUUUGGGAGGGGGCAAUUGGGCCUCCGAUAACAAUACGAACGUUGUUUUACGUCGGUUUUCUGUGAGGCCGUCGAACCGGCCCAUUAGUGCCAAAGCAUGGCUCUUGCAUACUUACAGCAGUGUUGCAAAAAAUAUGGACUGUUUAGAAGAACCUUUAGAAAUAUAAUAAAAUCAAUUCAUAAAACGUUCUCUAGUUGCAAUAGGUUUAUGAUUUCUUUAUGACGACUACAGUUCGGCCAUAAAUUACGUGUGGUGUUUUUUUAAUCUAUCCCCCUCUCACCCCUCGUCCAUCCUUCAAUCUCACGUAAUUUAUGGACGUCCCCCUUACUAUUUGACGGUUAUAAGUUAUACUUGAAGGCUUGUAUAUUUAACGUAGAAAAACUUUAGUGGAUGCAUAUGAAAUUUGUCUUUAUUAGAUUUAUUAAUUUAAUUAGAUUGUAAUUAACUAAAUUACGUUUAAUUUUGCUGUGGGACGAACGAUUGCAUUCCAUCGCAGUGAUUUUUUAAAUUAAAUUUGUUUUUUUUUUUUGUUAUAGGGGAUCGCACUUAGUAAAUUAUACAAUGUCGAAAAUGUUUAUGCUUCGAUUUUCUUUAAUAUUUCUAAGCAUAUUGGUAUUUGUUUUGUGGUCAAUUGUCAUGAAGUAAAUUAAUCAACAGCAAAUGUAAUAUUGGUUUCACCAAUCCUUUACUUUAGCGGAAAAUUUUUGAAAAGUAAAAAUUAAUGACCCAUUGAAGGUAAGAAAUGUUCUAGAGUGCUAUCCCCUAAAUAUAUCGUAUUCAAAAGUUAUAAGACAAACAUUUGACAAAUAUUUUUCACGGCAAACAUUGGAUCAAAUCCACACGUUUUUGUUUCGUACACUGUGUGUCAGAAAAAAGGUAACUUUCGCUAAGCGUCCCUUACUGUGUAAAGUAGAAAAGAAAUGCAAUUUUUUACUUAUAAAAAACAUGAAGAAAAUCGUGUACAUAUAUAUUAUAAGUUAUAAUAUAAUAUAUAAAUCGCUUAACUGAAUAGUUGUAGGUUUAAUCAUAUUAAUAUCUUAAAAAAUGUGCUAUUUUUUGCACUGAAAUGUAAUAAAAGACAUUUUAGUUUUUUUUUUUAUUUAUAAAUGCACUUAAUUCCAUGUAAUACUCAUUUUUUUUAAUUAUUGUUGAUAUUUUUAUUAUUUUUUUAAUGUAAACACUCGUUGGUUGAGUCGCCUGCAGCUGUGGAGUCGGGGAAAAUAGUAUUAUUGAGAUUUUUCUCAGUAGUAUGGAGUUUGAAAUUAUGUUACUCCAUUUGUAACAUAACUGGCGAAGUAUAUACUUUAAGUAUAUUACAAUUCUCUCUGUUAUGUUAUGUUAUUUAGAAUUUAAAUAACUAGUGAUGCUGUAUCUUGCCAUUACUUUGCUUUACAAUGAUAUUUUUUAAGUUUAUUUUUUAAUAGGAAAUAUAAUUAUGUAUUAUUUUUAAUUAACUUUUGUUUAAAGGCCCGGUUCAGUGCUGCUGAUUAGGUUACAAUUAGUUAUCAUUCACACAGAAAUGGUUUAAUGCCUUUCAUCUAUACUAAUAUCGAUUUAUUAUACUAUAUGUCGUGGUGGCCUGGUAGUUUUAGACACCCGCUUCUUAGCAUGAGGUUGCGGGUUCUAUACCUACCAACGGUAAGUACCAAUGUGACUUUAUCCGAGUUAUAUGUACUUUCUAACAUUAUUUAGACACCACUGACAAACGGUGAAGGAAAACAUCGUGAGGAAACCUAGGCUUAUAAUUUCUAAUAAUGAGUUUGAAAUCGCCAAACCGCAUUGAGUAAGCGCGGUGAUUAAUGCUCAAACCUUCUCCUAGUGAGUAGAGGCCUUUGGUCAGCAGUGGCCACUUAUAGGCUGAUGAUGUGAUGUGAAAUUAAUAAGAACUUAAUCAUUAGUACAGGAACUGGGUAUUAAGUGGCCUAUAAUACAAUGUCGUGCAAUAAAAAUGAUACAAACGUGGACUCACCGGUAUUUUAAACAUAGUGACGAUAUUUUUACACUUUGUGGCACAAAUAAAUGCACAUACAUACCCGUGGGUGCUGUUUGUAGUUAGUAGUUGACUAAAUAAUCGGUAAAUUCGGUUUUUUUUCAAUAUUUGAAGCUUACCUCUAGUGCCAUUAUCAUUUGUCUAGUUUUUUGAUAAUUGGGUCCGAUUUGAUAUUAUAAAGUAUUCCUAACACCACAUAUUUUAAAAUAAUAAUUAUAUUCAUUAUUUUUUUGUCUGUUCGCGUGAAACUCUAAAACUACUGAACAGAUUUUCAUGUAAUUUUCAUAACUCAGUAGUAUGAUUGUUUAGAAAGGUCUUAUUGUUUAAUUUUAUUUUUUAAUACGUGAAGUUUAUGUGUCACGUGGGAAAUCGAUAAAUUAUUGAUAAAUACAUACAAAAUAAUAAGUCAAAACAUAUACAAUUUUAAGGCGGCAAUAUUAGUAUAAGAUGCUAAUUAUAACAAUCAACUUCUAACUAAAAACAAUCACGCUAUUAUAUAAAGUAGUAUAAGUAGUUAGGUUACGGAUUGCAUAGUGUUUUGAUAAAUAUUAAUAAUUAUUAAUAAUACCGUGCGUCACAGUUUCUAUAGAUUCACGGCUGUAUAUUUUUACACUUGUGCAUCGUAAAUAAUAAUACAUAAUAAUUGUAAUAAUACAUAUUUAUAUGACAAACACUAGCAACGCCAUCUAGCGGUGUGAUGUGGCAACUUUGUGGAGAUCAAAGCAAAUUGUAUUAUACUGUAUGGUUAUAAAGUUCAAUUUUGCAAUACGCAGAUACAGACUACUUGCUUUUCCGUGGUGUUCGAAUCAUUAUUGAUUGUUAAGUAAAAAUGUGUUCUAUAAACACGAAGUUAAAGAUCAUAAUUCAAUACAUGGACAUAUUUAAAUUAGCUUCACGUUCUUUGCUAUUAAAAUUUCAACUUUAAGACCCUAAAGUUAAAGUACAAUUUGCCUUGAAUAUGUGACAUCAUAUCGUUAUAUGCGUUGUAACAAAAGCUCAUAAUAUAACUGAUAGUUGUAAAGUUAAUCAUCUUCCAUAGGUUUCGUAUAACAAUUUUGUAUAACAAUUUAAAGGAAAUUUUUAGUUUUUGUUUAAUAAUCUUUGUAUAUUAGUGCCAUAAUCGUAUUACAAGGGACAUUUUUAUUCAUAUAUAUUAAAAUAUAGUAUGUUUUUGGUAAAUAAUGCCGUUUUUGAAGUAAAGAUAGAUGAUGUAUCUACUUCAGGGUGCUUUUCCACCAAAGAUGUGCUAUGCUACAUUGCUGUGGAUGCGUUUGGCUUCCACCAAUCAUAUUCAUUGGUACACAUAGCACUAGUAGAAACGGACUAAGUUCAGCUAUGUUUUUUAUAUGGAAAGAUGCGUGCUAUGGAUGGCUUUCCUACUAUCGAAACAUCGCAUACUCAAGCUGCGCAUCUCACAAAACUACAUAGUUUAGUAUCAGUGGAAACAGUCACCUAGUUUCACAGCUUAGCUAUUAUAUCUUCAUAGCAUAGCUAUGUAGCACAUCUCUGCUGGAAAAAACACCCUUAUGCAGUGAUAAAAAAAAUACACAAUCUAAAAUAAUACAUAUUUUAUAGUAGUUCUUUAAAAUAAAAAAAAUACACCAGUAAAACGGUGUUUAAAUCAACUUUGCAAUCGAGCUAAUGACUAACAAUCCUAUUAAUUUUGUUUAAAAAUUAAUUAUUUACUACAAGUAAUUGAAAUGAUAUGUAUAUGAAUAAAAAUGUCUCCAAACCUAAAACAAGUGAGAAAAUUAGACUUAAUUUUUGUCUUAAUUACCGAACAGAAGUAAAGACAGUGUCCUUAGUACGAGUUUUCUAUACGUUUAAAGUAAUCGAAACGAGACCGGCGCGAAUUAAUCGACCAAUCAGAGGCCUUAGUAUGAGUUCGUUUUACGUUUUACGCUCUGAUUGGUUGGUUCAUUCACACCGGCCAAUCAGCGCCGCACGCACUCUCGUUUCAGUUACUUUAUAUGUAAACUCGUACUGAGGUUACAGAUUUGUAAACGUGUGCUAUUUAUUUAUAUUAUAUUUUUCUCUUUGUAAAAUACAAACACAAAGAUUUUGUUACACCAUUUACAACGGCUGAACAGAUUUACAUGAAAUUGGAAUAACUGAAUGAAAUUGGACAAGUUCUCGAGAUUAAUGCAUGAUGUAAGUAUAAUUUGUCCGUACGUUUUGUAUUUUUGUUACAUCAUGAAUGUUUUGGGUAUGAUUCUCGUUUCUAACAAUGUUAGGUACUGUCUCGAAAUAUGCUAGACUAGUUGUUCCCCGCGUAUAAAAAUGACUUCGGGCAGAAUUUGGGUUUUUGAAUUAAUGUCCGUCUGGUAGAUUAUUUUAAAGCAUACACACGUUUUGUUUUCUUAUACGAAAAAAAAAAUACGUGUCUAAUAUUUUUUCAUUACCUGACGGACUAAACAGAUUUUUUUAAUGUUCAUACCCCAUCAUCAUCCCUAUGUUAUUUACUGUCUCGAAAUUCACAAUAGUAUUAUGUAAUCGGGAAUCGUACCCAUUAUCUCUUACUCUCACCUUAUUACCAAAAAUCAUUAUGACAUUUUAAGCUGGAAAUCUCGACAGAAAACGGUCACUAAGUAAGACAUUUCUUUAAUGGAUUUUUUACUUUAACAUAAAAAGGAUUAGGUUCAAAAUAUAUUAAAGAAAUUCACAUACUACCGACCUUUUUUUAACCCGUCGAUUUUCAACUUUAUUCAGAGAAGGAUAAGGUUGAAAAUGUAUUAAAGAUUCACGAUUCUUACCCCCCUUUUAAUAUUAUGUUUAAUUCUCAAGGUGUGACGAUCAGAUUACAGUUGUAUGUAAGAUUUUGAUAAAACAAUUUUUAUUUGUAACUAUACUUGUUUUUAUUAGCAUAAAGACGCUUAUUUUUCAUAUUAGACUUAUGUGGAUGCAUGUUACAACUAUUUAUAAUAAGGUUAAGUAAAUAAAAUUAUUUAAAUUUGA